AGAGCGCGACACGUGGAUGAUGCAUCAUCAACGGUCAAGAUUAGAUUGGUUUGAAAGGGUUAUUAAAUCCGGUUUAAGUGGAUGAUUCGAACCACCAUUUUUGAACCGGUCCUUUACCAAACAACUCAUUUGCAGGUUGCCCUCUCUCGCACGACGCGCUCAUCUCUCGCUGCUCACAGAGGAGAAACCCUAACGGUGGUUUCUUCUGCUGCUCCCGGUCAAGGUCGAAGCUCACGAAGGGGUUUUUCCCGUAGGCGAAAGGGAUUAGUUGUGGUUUCUUCUGCUGCUCCCGGUCAAGGUCGAAGCUCACGAAGGGGUUUUUCCUGUAGGCGAAAGGGAUUAGUUGUCUCUCUAUCUUGCGAAGGGGAUUUUUUGCUAGGUUUGAGUCACUAUCGCGCCGAACUUUUUUCUGGGUUUGAUUCAUUCACUGUUAGUUUUUUUUUUUUUUUUUCCUGCUUGGUGUUGUUCUACAACAGAGGUUUCUUGCCACGAAGGGGUUUUUUUUUCCUGCUCUGUCGCGGUCUCCUCCCCUCGUGAAGGUCUCUCUUCCUUCAGAGGUAUGUUUCCAGAUCUGAACAAGUAAUGUAGUGUUGUCUCUCUGCUCUGUCGCGGUCCACUUGUUAGUUCAGUGACAAUCCCUACUUUGGGAAUUGGGAUCCUAUCCAGAGGAGGUAAGCAACAUCAGGUUAGUUUCUAUUUCUUGUCUUCUUACCUCUGUUAUGAUGAGCAUGGGAAUCAAGUCUGUAUAUAUCCCAUGUUGGGACAUGUAACAGCUUUUUAAUCAAAGAAUGGAACAGAGUUGAGUUGCAGAUAUGCUGCUGUUAGUAUAUUUUUGCUACCGCAGGCCAGUGUCAGCAUAUUUCCUGGGUCAUUUCUUACAGGAGUGGAUUUUUCAUGUUCUUCUCUCCUUUUAAGUUUAGCUGAGAUCAAUCAGACAGGUUAUAUAGACUUGAACAGUCCAAACUCAAUGGUUUAGAGAAAUUCUUUCAGAUUUUGAUAGAUAUACUUAGCCUCAGCAUGAAAUUGAAUUUCAGGAACAGAAAUUUGUCUCUGAAUGUAAGCCCCAUAAAAUACACCCAAGUUUGUCUGAUUGAAUGGAAAAUUUGAUGACAAACCAAAUUUCCAAAGUUUUGUUUUUUCCCCCUGAAAGCAAGAAUCAAAGUACAGCACCAGACAACAAUGUUGUGUUAUGUUUUGGGAUCUUGAAUAGGUUUGAACUUAUUUGAUAGACCAUCUGUUAGGUCUGUAUUGUAUUGUCUAAAAACAGGAAGGGA